rnacentral:rRNA from 1 species
GACGUAGGGGGCCAGCGUUGUUCGGAAUUACUGGGCGUAAAGCGCACGUAGGCGGGUUGUUAAGUCAGGGGUGAAAUCCUGGAGCUCAACUCCAGAACUGCCUUUGAUACUGGCAACCUAGAGACUGGAAGAGGUUAGUGGAAUUCCCAGUGUAGAGGUGAAAUUCGUAGAUAUUGGGAAGAACACCAGUGGCGAAGGCGGCUAACUGGUCCAGCACUGACGCUGAGGUGCGAAAGCGUGGGGAGCAAACAGG